rnacentral:rRNA from 1 species
CACGUAGUUAGCCGGUGCUUAUUCUUCAGGUACCGUCAUUAGCCGGGGAUAUUAGCCCCAACCGUUUCUUCCCUGACAAAAGAGCUUUACAACCCGAAGGCCUUCUUCACUCACGCGGCAUUGCUGGAUCAGGCUUGCGCCCAUUGUCCAAAAUUCCCCACUGCUGCCUCCCGUAGGAGUCUGGGCCGUGUCUCAGUCUCAGUGUGGCUGGUCGUCCUCUCAGACCAGCUACUGAUCGUCGCCUUGGUGAGCCUUUACCUCACCAACUAGCUAAUCAGACAUCGGCCGCUCCAAAAGCAUGAGGUCUUGCGAUCCCCCACUUUCUUCCGUAGAACGUAUGCGGUAUUAGCGUAACUUUCGCUACGUUAUCCCCCACUUCUGGGUACGUUCCGAUGUAUUACUCACCCGUUCGCCACUCGCCGCCAGGUUGCCCCGCGCUGCCGUUCGACUUGCAUGUGUAAAGCAUGCCGCCAGCGUUCAAUCUGAGCCAGGAUCAAACUCU